UGUGUUCUCAGGUCACCCCUUU
rnacentral:siRNA from 1 species